UGUAACAAACAAUUUACAGCAAUCAGAGUAAGUGAGAGGCCAAAUGCAAAAAGUGAUGCACCACAUUCCCCCACUCAUUCGGGACAUAAAUGUGAGAAAGUCCUAUCUUUAUUUCAGGCUUACUCUUGUUGAGCUUUCUAUUUCUGGCUGUGCUACACUGAGACAGAAUGUCCGCCUGUGCUUUGGCUAUCGAAGCGCACUGAGAUUAGAUAAAGGUAAUGGCUGGUGAGUGAUGGAAUGCCAUCAUGGCCGUGCUCCCACCGCAGUCAAGGCUGCCAUCACUGAAUGUUGGCAUUGAGUGGGGCUCAGGCAGCAGAAAUCAUUCAAAAUCUGCCAACUGCCCUAGGAGUUGGUUCUAAAUAAAAUGAAAGUGCAUUGUCAAGCCUUCCCUAACAACUCCUUGCUUCUCUAUCAACUUUUUAGAAGUAACCUUACACUGAAAAUCCCAGUUUAUUGGCUCAAGCUAACCUUCAGAAAAGAUGCAGAUUAAAGAUUUAAUACAGCUCACAUAGGUAUAAUAUCCUAGAAGGAUCAGGGGAAGUCUGCACUUGCUUCUGAAUAUAUUUAACCACGUCAUAACCAUGGGUUCUAUUCUGCAGGAAGAGGCACAGCUUGGCAGUGGUGACCAAGAGUUUGCCUACAGAACAUAUCAUUUGGAAACUAUAUAAAUACUGACUUCAGGAUUUCUCACUCUUAUGUUAUCACUUGGAUGAAAGCUGAAUCAACACCCUGAUCUGGCCGCACUGUAUUCUCAUAAUCAGCUACACAGCCACAAGGAGUUCUGACUCUGCCCUGAAAACCAAUGGACUCACUUAGUGGAUGUCAACAGGACUGAUUGUGGAACACAGAUCUCAUGGAGAAGGAAGUGAAUGGCUGUCAGCAACUUUUUCCUUUGCACGUAGAAUCAUGCCUUUAACACUCAGACUUUAGACUUUUCCUACUCGUCCCUUAAUCUAGCUGCUACACCUUCAUCAGCACCCACCAGGUCAUUAUCAAAUCAGAAGCAAGUUUCCUUAUAUAAAAGCUUUUUUCACUUUCUGCA